rnacentral:ncRNA from 1 species
CUUAUCAAGAGUGGCGGAGAAUACAGGUUCUGUGAAGCCCGGCAACCUAUUGAAUGUUUUUUAUUCAGAAAAGGUGCUAAAUCCUGCGGUUAAACCGGAAGAUGAGG